rnacentral:rRNA from 1 species
GAUGAACGCUGGCGGCGUGCCUAACACAUGCAAGUCGAACGGAGUCCAGCCUUUAAGACCUUCGGGUCAAAGAGGGGAAGACUGAGUGGCGGACGGGUGAGUAACACGUGGGCAACCUGGCUCAUAGAGGGGGAUAACAGAGAGAAAUUUCUGCUAAUACCGCAUAAGCACACACUGCCGCAUGGCAGAGGGUGAAAAGAGAAUCGCUAUGAGAUGGACCCGCGUCUGAUUAGCCAGUUGGCAGGGUAAGAGCCUACCAAAGCGACGAUCAGUAGCCGAUCUGAGAGGAGGAACGGCCACAUUGGGACUGAGACACGGCCCAAACUCCUACGGGAGGCAGCAGUGGGGGAUAUUGCACAAUGGGGGGAACCCUGAUGCAGCGACGCCGCGUGAGUGAAGAAGUAUUUCGGUAUGUAAAGCUCUAUCAGCAGGGAAGAUAAUGACAGUACCUGAAUAAGAAGCCCCGGCUAACUACGUG